UGUGUGGGCCUCAUUCAAUCUGUUGAAGGCCUGAAUAGAAGAAAAGGCUGAAUAAGAAAAAAUUCUUGUUUUGGCCAUUGCACCCAGUUUUUUGCAAAGCUUGAAACUAUUUCAAAGUAUUGGGUUGAUUAGGAUCAUCCCAUUGGUUAAUAAAUAAAUGUGUUUGUGCUUUUAAAAAUAAUUCUUUCUGACUGACUCUCUUCAGACUGGGACACUGGUCUUCUCCUUCCUUUGGACUCAGACUCAGACUUAGACUGGAAUUUACAACAUCAACUCACCUGGGUUUCCAGCUUGCCAACUUCAGAUCUUGGACUUCUCAUCUUCUAUAAUCAUUGCCAUAAAAUAAGGAAGUGUUCAACAACAACUUAUGAUGGAGGUGUAUCAGAGGAGGACAAGAGCCAAUGGAAAGAGCUCCCAAUGGCCAAAGCUGGAACAACUUGAACAACAAAACAAAUAAGGAUCUGUUCCAGAAGGAACUGCUGGAUCAAAGCAUGUGCGAACUCUUAAGGCUUCUGAUACAUAUUGCCAAAUUACCACUCGAAGGACUUACCAGCAGUGAAUGGGAGAACCUCUUCCCCAGGGUCCUGACCCACCCAACCAUAAACACACAAUAAGGAAGUAAGGGGGAUGGGGGAGGGAUAUUAAUGUUUUAAUUUGUUCUUUUGUUUAUAAGUAAAGAAAAAUUUGUUUAUUCCUUAUGA
rnacentral:lncRNA from 1 species